GGCAGCAGGACACCAUCUUGGAGAGGUCGCGGGAGACGGACGCGCCGCCGCCAUCUUGGGAAGUUGUCGGGAACGUCGCCUAAUCACCAUGACCUUUCAAAAAAUGAGAGAGCGGCCUCAGAACGAUCACGUAAUCUUAUUACCACUAGACUGCAGAUUUAAAAUGCAGGGGUGCUGUCUUCUCAUCUUGACAGAGAGUGAAAGUGCUAAUAGCAUAUACAGGGCGGUAUCCUGACCUUAGCUGUGUGCUCUGCCUUCGCUUCUGUGUCUGCCUCUGCAACUUCGGGAGUUGUUGCAGCCCGGGCUGGAAGAACUCCAUCCCCCUGCCUCUCGUUCGGAGCUUCGGGUAACUUCAGGGUUCCCAAUACUGCGGCGAUAAAAGCCUAUGCAAAUAGGCAGAAAUCUUUAUUACUUUUAGUGUUUGCUUUCUUCCGAGGGAACUGUGUUAGGCUAAUGUGUUUUGUUUUGUAAGCAAACCCAACAUCCUUCAGCCUCUCUUAUUUUGUAAACGUUUUUCCUCGCUGAAGUACAGCUUUCCUCGAUGUAAAGGAGACUCUGAACUGAGUGCUUAGGCUAGUCUUUGUAGAAGUGUUUUUGCACCCCGAGAGUAGGAACUGGUAGACGUAGAGCUUGUCUUUUAUAUGUUACUUCUAGCAAGAAACUAGAACCUGAGGCUGUUAUUACUGAAUCUAGAAUUAUUAACAUGAAAAGUAUUGGCAAAAUUCUUGAGGAUAGUCUCACUGUUUUUAAAGCAUUAUGAUAUCCCUUAUUUUCUAUGCUUUUCCCAUGUUAUGUGUUUUUUGCAUGUUCCUCAGGUCUGACCAAAUGGCGGUAUUCUGGGUGAAAUCUAAAGUUUUGUGUUGCUGUUUAGCAUCUUUUAGCGCUUAGCAGUUUUCAGCAAAAGCAGCAUUCAUUUACAAACUCUACGAGAAUUGGAGACCUCUUGUGGAGUUUUUUAGGCGUCACAUCCCUUAGUGUUGAUUUAAAAAAAAAAAAUUCUGGUCGAAUUUUUAGAGUUUUUUUUCCAGCAGAGGGAGACAUCUGACCGUGAAAUUCAAACACAGCCAGUAUUCUUGUAGCUUGUUUUAUCAAUAUACAUAUAAAACUCAAUGUUCAAAUUAACUAGUUCAAUAAGUAAUUUAGCUCAUUGAUUUUUGGGCAUAUCCUAAGUGCCAUUACAAGCUACGGAUAUUUUAAAUGCCAUUACCUAAUAGAAGGAAUGUUUUAAGCACCUUUUAUUGAUUUUAUUACUGCUUUAUUUUGCUGUCUUGGUUUAAAAUCAUUUUAACCACUCUGUAAUCAAGAAGAAAUAUAUCGUUGGUGAAAUACAGUCAAUUUCCUAAAAACCUUUGACAUCGUUAAAUAAGGAAUUACAGUUGUUAAAUCAUGUCAGGCAAUAACCGAGGGACAGAAAAGAUAUAAAAUUUGGAGCAGUGGGCCAGCAUACCAGUAAGCUGUUUUGACCUUUGGCAUUCAGACUCCGUAUGUGACAAUCACACUUCAAUUCUGUUCUUCAUUCUUACAUCAGUCAGAAGAGAUUUAAAAUCUCAGCAUGCCAGGAAGGUUGUGGAAGGAUAACAGAGUAUGAUCUAGAGACAAUUAAGGGGCAUUUUAAUGACCUGCUGUGACUUUUUGUUAAAAUUACUCUCUAACUUAGCGCAUUUGAAGUUUCAUUUGCUGGAUUGUAUUGCUAGUAGUUUAGUGUAUUGAUGUUAUACACAAAAGGAGUAAAUUGAGUCUGCUCUUAGGGAUUUCAGUUACUUCCCUUCCCAGCUCUUUUGACUUGAGAAGAUUAUCAGUAUUAUUGAGCUAAUCAGCUGGUAGAUGUAGACUGGGAAUACAGGCAAUAUGUUGCUUAAUCAAAGAAUUGAAAAGUAAGUAAUGAAUGUUGGUGCUCAAUAAAAAACAGCUAAUGAGUUGAUUGCAUUGAUGCUUGAUGUAAUUUAACUGUAGAGUGGCAAACAUCAAUACUUACAUAUGAUUUGGCUCCUGAUUGCUGAGCUGAAACUCAAAGUUUAGAGAGGUUCUGCAGUAUGCCAGCACCUGGCAACUGACCUGAAGUGGGGAGGGAGGGAGCUGUGUUUUGUUCUUUAAAUGGAACAAGUGAUUCCAUCACUUUUAUUUUGUUUAAAAACAAACAAAAAUAAAAACACACACCCCCCACCAAAACCCAAAACUUAACACAUAACUGCUUUCAGAGGUUUAUGAAUAAUUUCUGGAUUGAAAAAUAAGAAUAAAUCAUCAUAAAGUAGUUUAAAAAUCAAAUUAAUGAUUAUAAAUGUUAAACCAACCUCUAGUCUUCCUUUAAUAAUGACCUUGAUAACCUCAAGGGGAAAGUCAGCAGCAAAGAAACACUAUGCUGUCUGGGGAGGUGGAUGCCUGCUAUGUUUGAGCUAGCUCUCCCGUUCAUGUAGUAUCAGCUAAGACUGCAUUUUAAAAGAAAGUUCGUUUGCAGAAAGUGAACACUGUCUUGAAUGGUGCCACCUGUAACUGCAUUCUGAAUUCACUUUUUGCCAUUAUUCUUUUCCUUUUGAUUUGUUAGGUGUGGUAAAGUCUCCUCAAGUGCAAGGUUAUACUUACUAGUGGCACAGAAGGACAUCUUUGUAGGCUUUUCUAAACCAAGAUCUGCCACUGUCGGCUGCUGUGAAGCAGCAGGAAGAAGACUGUUGGUACCCAGAUUCUGGGUGGUUUCUACAUCUUUUGUCACAUUCUGACCUCUUUUCCAGCCUUGGGGAGUACACUUCUACUUCAGGAAUCUCACUUUCAUCAGGAAGUAGUAUUUGUCUUUAAACUGUGAAGUAAUUAUAUGCUUCAGAAAUUUGGGUUUUAUUUCUGUGAAAUGUCCCGUGUCACGUUUGGCCCUAGAUCCUUAUUAGAUUGGUGACACAUUCUCUCUCUGGGCAGCCAUCAAGUAUAGCUUUAUGGAGUCUCUGCUUGCCAGCUGUUUUCUCAUUUAACUAAUGCUGGCCUACACCACCACAAUAACACAGCUGAGGGACACUUUUAGUGGCCUUAUCUCUUGCCUUCUCCUUUCAAUCUGUCAAUAUUGGGGGUGAGGGGCAUUGAUGGAGAUUUGUAAUAGGGGAAAAAACAAAUGGAGGUGAUUCUGUUGGUAGAAUCACAGAAGAGUCUGAUCGUCUACAGACUAGGGAAGGCAUACAUUUACUGAAUACAUUAACUUUGUAUUUCUAGGUAUUCUUUCCAAUGAUGAGACUUAGAAAUGUAAUAGUGCUUUAAAUGAAAAUAUCAGCAUGGCACAGUAACAACCUCAGUUCAUCAAGGCCAUAAACUGAGCCUUCGAUGGCUGUGCGGUAGACUACAUCAUCCAGACAUACAGCCUGCUUUGUGUAUAGCUCUUGAUGUGUAUUUUUCUGUCUUGUCUGAGAAGGAGCUGCUGUUUGCUGGUCAGUAGCCUCUCCUUGGGAAGAAAGGUUUGAUUAUCCAUGUCACUGAGUCUCUCCCAGAUAAAGAGGAUCCUCUGCCUACCCAAAGGGCAGAGUGCGUGAAGGAAGAUUGCAUAAGCAAGCAGAUGGUGGGCUGUGGGCAGGGCAGGCUGGGAGUGUAGGGAGGAGGGUAAAUCAUGCAGAAGGCAGUAACACUUCAGUCUGAUUUGCUUUUUCUCUGUAGCUUUCCAGUGUCUGCUAGUGGUAAGUGACAUCUUGGGACUUUGGCUACAAAAGAUCCACCCAGCUGGGAAAUAUUGAUGCCUGAUACUUUGGAUCCUAAUUCUAAAGGACACUUAUUAAUGUGCUCCUUUAAUACUUGUUGUUUUUAGAGAAAAACCCUACUUUAUUUUUCCUAGAUUGGGGCGGAGGGAACUGAACAGUUAAAGAGACAAUGUCCACUAACAUGUAUUUUUACUGAGACGCCUUCUAAAAUGUGUUUAAAAUCCAGUCAGGAGAAGCUAGGCUUUCUUUAGACCUGUUGAUAGUUUGUCACAUAAUACCUUUGUGCUACCAGUUUGAACAGGAAAUAUAUUUAUUUCCCUAUAAAUACGUUUAGCUUUGUCCAAAUAACUGUAGUUUCCUGUUAAGAUUUCCUCAGCCAGGGUGUGCCAUAAACUGUUUUAGAAGGAAUGAUGUUGCCUGGAAUUGAACAAGGAUAAUGCAAGCCAUGGAAGCAAAAUAGAAAGCCACCACAACAUUAAUUCUAAUUUGUUUUGGUUAAACUGUAAUUCAGUGAAAUGCUGACACUGUAUACUCAAUGCAUGAUGCCAUAAAGAGUGUCCUUAUCCAAACUGCAGUUUGCUUCUGAAGACCUCCAAAUAACCAUUUUUUUCCAAAUGUCUGUUCUAGACUGUAAUCUCUAAAGCAAACUUUAAAAUGUAUAAUUAUAAAUUGAUCUCUUCACUUUGAUAUGAUCUUUAAAUAUUUGUGUUGCAGUAAUUUGUCUCUUUGUUUCCCUGUAGGGUACUGUUGCUUGACCAAAAGGUACAUAUAUAAGUAGAACUCAUGCUACUUACCGUAAUUUGGCCGUCCGUGAAUAUUGCUGUAGUUUCUGCCAAUGGAUUUUAAAACUUUUGUCCAUACCCGUGGGUUAGCUGGUGACUCAGAUAAUCCUAUCCUCCCUACAACAAUAUAACAGCAGAAUUUUGACUGAUAACUUUUGGGUGUAGAAUCAUCACUUUCUUUAGUUAAAAACGGUUUGUACAAGUAUUGUCAACAUCUAAUGUAAAAUUAUGGAAAAAUCUUUAAUGUUUUAUAUUGUACACUCCUGAUUUUGUUGCCCUGUCCAGACAUCACAGGGUAUAGAAAUGCCAGAAAGAUUUUAAUUUUUUUUUUAAUAACUCACUGACUCUAAUUUUUAUAUUUCAAUGCAGAGUGAUUUCCUUAUUUUAUUCUGGUACCCUUGCUACAAAACAAUUUUUUUUGAAAAUAGUGGAAACAAACAGUUAAAAAAAGAAAGCACAACAGGUUCUAGUCAUACUCAUUUUUCCACACCUUGAGGACUAGCAAAUUCUUUAAUAUGAGAUUUUAUUUGUACAAAGCAAAACUUCAAAACCACUCAAAAGCUUUCUUAUUAACUGCUGUCAGUCCUUUGAUUUACAAGGGCAAUAAAGAUCUAGAAGGGGCACAUUUAUCAUGGAGUUCAGCACACCAGGAGCCAUUUUCUCAAGCGGUAAAGCCAAGUGAUAAAAUGAGUUCUUUUGUUCUAUAACCAAGACACAUUCCCUAUUUUUAAAAAUGUGUGUGUUGGACUUCUUGGCUUGUAGUUUGGCUGUGUUCCUGUAAUACAUUUAUAAAUAAUGAAAAAUUGCUAACAUGCAGAUGCUGAUGAUGCAUCUGGAAAAACAGACUGUCUGAAAGAAACUUACUUUCAACUUUGGUUUAUUCACUAACUUUUCUCCAGUGCUAACUCUUGUAUGAAUUUUUAAUAGCACUUUUUAAACUAGAGGUGUGGUUUGAUGGUUUGGUUUUGGUUUUGUUGUUUUUUAAAAGUAAUCAUAUCCCUCUCUGCAAAGCUGAAAGAAUUCUGGUUAGGAAGUAAUAAAAAUACUCUAUUUAAAAUAAAGAGCCGUGUUCAUAGGGUAUAGUGCUAUUUUGCAAGCUUCAGUUCCUUCAUCUGUUUCUAAACUUGUAUUUGAGUGACUUUUUGAAUGCUCUUCUUUAAUGUUAGUGGAUAGAACAGUUUAGCUUCUUGUCUAGGCCAAAAUAUUGAUGCUUGUAUGGGCACUUCAUUAACAGACAUAGCUGUGUGGGAGGAACUGAUUGCAAGAGUAAAUAUCCUUGCAUGUGAGCAAGUGGCUCAGAAUCUGACUAUAAAUUGAAUAUUUUAAAAAGUGUAUUCUGUUUUUUCCAUUUAAAAAUGCUGCCACCUACAGUCUCUUCCUGGGAAAGAGAUGCAGUGCUGCUUUCACCAGUCAGCUGCUGAAAGUUCUGAGAAGUCCAGUUAUGCUCAGCUGUUCAGUGUUGUUGCACAAGGACCUUCAAAAUAGAAGCAGGAGAAAAGACUUGCAAAAAUUACUUUCCAAUAUAAUUUUUAAUAUAAUAAGCUUUAAUUGUAAAUGUAAAACUGUGAAGUUGCUCUUGAUGUUUUGGCUUCAAUUGGGCUGCUGUCAUAACAUAUGGAAGAGUGAGUCUGGAAAAGGUCAGAGGCAUUAAACCUUGUUCAUAUUUAAAUCAGCACUACACUAUGGUGCCAGUUUAACUACAGCAGUGCUGCAGCAGUACCCAUUUGUCCCCACGUUAUGCAAACAGUGAUGGAUGGGCUUGGAAGGCAUUUCGGACAAUAGCUGUUUCUUUGGUUUUAUUCUCGGUUUCUUUUAUAGACAGACCUUUAAGAAAAGCCAUGCUGUAAGCAGAUUGCACUUGUAGCAAAGUUAUCGCAUAGCUCUUGAAUGUGGUGUUCUAUGAACAAAAACACUGAACAAAAGGACCAAAGGUAUAUCUGGUCUGCUAUGCUUUCUUUGACCGUGGUCAGCAGCAGGUUUGUAGAUAAGUGUUAGAACAGGGCAAACAUACAGUGGUAUUGUCAGAAUAAGAAAUGUGGAACAACAUAGGUCUUCCCAAACCUAUUUAUUGAUCUUAGGUAAACUCUUCAACUGUACAAGGUGUGUGUGUGGGACAAACAAUUUUUCAUUCACUGUAUUCUACAUUAAAUAGUUUGGAAGUAGGACUCGUACUAUUAUCACCCUAGUUGAUAUGCCUGUGAAAGCAUGUUAGUGAGAAAUUUGAGAAACAUCUUCUUUGUGGCUGACUCGUAGUAGUUACAUAUCCAGAAGGAAGCAGCUUUUGCAACAGCCAAAAGACCCCACCAUAACUCCUGUACUAGCUUAUGGAAAACUAAAGCUUUGGUUGACCUAUCAUGGCAGUCAUCUGUGGCAUAGGGGUUUUGCAGAUCUCCGUUUCUGUAAUUUUAUGUUGGUACUUAAAAUUUAGCAUGAAAAGACAUAGUCUAGGAGGCCCACCUUUUUGUAUAGGUGUGUAUGUUACUUCUGAUACUUAUAUUGCAAAACCUUUAGUCUCCUGAUAUUUAAGGUCAGAAGUUAUAAAGGGGGGGUGGUGGUGUUUGUUUUGGGGUUUUUUUGUUUUUUAACCCUGGGGCCUUUUAUACUGUAGUGUCUUGAAAGAUCCUAAAGCUUUGAGGGGAAAAAAAAAUUGAAAUACUUUAUUUUAUGAAGCAGUUUUGGGGUCAGUUUUUCUAAAAUGAAUGCUUUUAUGUUGGAUAGUUUAAAGAACAUCUGUUAACUGAAACCAACCGUAAGUGAAGUUGCAGUUAUGUUUCCUAUUAGUCUUGUAUCUUUCCUAUUAGUCAUGUAUGAAAGAAUACAGAGACAUCCAACAGAACUCAAAACAAAAAUUGAAAAAGCAGAUGUUGAAACUGUUGGCUUGUUGCUUUUCUUUUACAGGAGCAAGUAAUUAUUAAUGGAUCACAAAAAUACUAUAAGACUAGUUUUGUAAACUGUUACCUAGAAUCACAGCUAAAGAUGUAUUUCUGAUUAUUGUAUAUUGCAGUUGAAAAUUGGAAUAUUUCACUUGGAGACACUGAAGAGGGUUUUAAAAAAUAGAUCAUGAAUGUUAUGUCUGGAAGCAUACAAUGAAAGAUAAAAUACAAAAUUUUAAAUAGUUAUGCACUUCUAGUCUCUCAGGGCUCGUUUAUUAUGUUGUCAUGGUGAGCAAGGAAUAAAAAAAUAAAAUAAAAAGGCUGUUCCUUGGGUAGUUGUGACUUAUUGGUAGUUAUCUUUUACAAGAGUUCCAUGCUGACUUAAGUAAAGAUCUCUGAGAAAAAAACCAAACUUUAUUUUUCAAAUAAAUUCAGCUAAGAGCUCACAGCCUUCCAUGACACCACACUGAAUUAUUAUUAGUGUACACUGCUGUGAGAAUAACACUCACUGCUGUUUAACAACAAUGUCUUUCCAUGGAAUUUCAGAAAGUCAGUAGGAAAAUGAAAGGCAGAAUUGAGUGCUGAAGCAGAAUUAAACCAGUCCAUCCUGAAGCAGGGAUACUUUCAUCAUUACUUCUGUAAGGAAGAAGAUGAAGAAUUAACAUGUACUGUAUACGCAGGUCCAUAUGAUUUGGUUGAAAAAUUCUUAAUGGCUUGUGUGUGUUAAGCAGGAGGUCCUCUCUUAUCUGAAUAAAAUCUCCUUAAGUAUA